rnacentral:rRNA from 1 species
AUAGGGCAGAGGUGGAAGUGCAGUAAUGCAUGGAGCUGACUGUUACUAAUCGGGUGAGGGCUUGACCAA